UUGACUUAUUUUGUAUUUUAUAUCGUGAUAGCUUGUAAAUAUGGCAAUCCCCAUGGUUCACGUACCUGUGGUAUGAUUGUCGGAUCCAACAAUUGUCCGUAUGGAUAUCAUUGUAUUGGAGGUCCUGCAGAUGAAUACUUUGCUUGUUGUCCAAAUGCCCCCUAGACCAACACAUUAGUCAGCUGCAAUGGUAUGUCAAAGAUACAUCCUGAUGUUGAAAACAAGAAAUUAUGCACGAUUGUCAUUAUAGAUGUGUAGAUCUUAUUAGCCGACUGUUUUGUUGACAGAAAUGAAUAAGAUCAACUAUUCCAUUGUUUAAUAAACUAGACUUUCAAUUAA